rnacentral:rRNA from 1 species
AUUGAACGCUGGCGGCAUGCCUCACACAUGCAAGUCGAACGGCAGCACGGGAGCAAUCCUGGUGGCGAGUGGCGAACGGGUGAGUAAAGUAUCGGAACGUGCCCAGUCGUGGGGGAUAACGUAGCGAAAGUUACGCUAAUACCGCAUACGAUCUAUGGAUGAAAGCGGGGGAUCGCAAGACCUCGCGCGAUUGGAGCGGCCGAUAUCAGAUUAGGUAGUUGGUGGGGUAAAGGCUCACCAAGCCGACGAUCUGUAGCUGUUCUGAGAGGACGACCAGCCACACUGGGACUGAGACACGGCCCAGACUCCUACGGGAGGCAGCAGUGGGGAAUUUUGGACAAUGGGCGCAAGCCUGAUCCAGCCAUGCCGCGUGCAGGAUGAAGGCCUUCGGGUUGUAAACUGCUUUUGUACGGAACGAAAAGGUUUGACUUAAUACGUUGGACUCAUGACGGUACCGUAAGAAUAAGCACCGGCUAACUACGUGCCAGCCGCCGCCGUAAAAC